UGGGGAAUAUUGGACAAUGGGGGAAACCCUGAUCCAGCAAUGCCGCGUGAGUGAAGAAGGCCUUCGGGUUGUAAAGCUCUUUUGUUAGGGAAGAUGAUGACGGUACCUAACGAAUAAGCACCGGCUAACUUCGUGCCAGCAGCCGCGGUAAUACGAAGGGUGCUAGCGUUGUUCGGAAUGACUGGGCGUAAAGGGCGCGUAGGCGGCCAAGCACGUCAGAUGUGAAAUCCCUGGGCUUAACCUAGGAAUUGCAUUUGAUACGGCUUGGCUAGAGUUCAGCAGAGGGUGGUGGAAUUGCGAGUGUAGAGGUGAAAUUCGUAGAUAUUCGCAGGAACACCAGUGGCGAAGGCGGCCACCUGGGCUGUAACUGACGCUGAGGCGCGAAAGCGUGGGGAGCAAACAGGAUUAGAUACCCUGGUAGUCCAUGCCGUAAACGAUGAGUGCUAGAUGUUGGAGGCUUAGCCUUCAGUGUCGCCGCUAACGCAUUAAGCACUCCGCCUGAGGAGUACGGUCGCAAGAUUAA
rnacentral:rRNA from 1 species